AACCACGGCCGCAACUGGCGAACUGAGGUGGGUGACCACCGGGGAGCGGCCGGCAGAACCCCUCACAUCGGCGCCGCUCGCCUGGGCGCCGGGG
rnacentral:ncRNA from 2 species